UACGUAGGGUGCAAGCGUUAAUCGGAAUUACUGGGCGUAAAGCGUGCGCAGGCGGGUAUGUAAGACAGGUGUGAAAUCCCCGGGCUUAACCUGGGAACUGCAUUUGUGACUGCAUAGCUAGAGUACGGUAGAGGGGGAUGGAAUUCCGCGUGUAGCAGUGAAAUGCGUAGAUAUGCGGAGGAACACCGAUGGCGAAGGCAAUCCCCUGGACCUGUACUGACGCUCAUGCACGAAAGCGUGGGGAGCAAACAGG
rnacentral:rRNA from 1 species